rnacentral:rRNA from 1 species
UACGGGGGGGGCGAGCGUUGUUCGGAAUUACUGGGCGUAAAGGGCGCGUAGGCGGCCUGGGAAGUUCUGGGUGAAAGCCCCCGGCUCAACCGGGGAAGUGCCUGGAAAACCACGAGGCUGGAGUGCUGGAGAGGAAAGCGGAAUUCCCGGUGUAGCGGUGAAAUGCGUAGAGAUCGGGAGGAACAUCGGAGGCGAAGGCGGCUUUCUGGACAGACACUGACGCUGAGGCGCGAAAGCCAGGGGAGCAAACGGGAUUAGAUACCCCGGUAGUCCUGGCUGUAAACGUUGGGUACUUGGUGUGGGGGGUGGAAAAGUCCCUCCGUGCCGGCGAGAACUCGAUCAGUACCCCGCCUGGGGAGUACGACCGCAAGGUUG